rnacentral:rRNA from 1 species
UACGUAGGGCGCGAGCGUUGUCCGGAAUUAUUGGGCGUAAAGAGCUCGUAGGCGGUUUGUUGCGUCGGCCGUGAAAACUCAGGGCUUAACUCUGAGCCUGCGGUCGAUACGGGCAGACUUGAGUUCGGUAGGGGAGACUGGAAUUCCUGGUGUAGCGGCGAAAUGCGCAGAUAUCAGGAGGAACACCGGUGGCGAAGGCGGGUCUCUGGGCCGAUACUGACGCUGAGGAGCGAAAGCGUGGGGAGCGAACAGG